rnacentral:rRNA from 1 species
CCUACGGGGGGCAGCAGUGAGGAAUAUUGGUCAAUGGACGCAAGCCUGAUCCAGCCAUGCCGCGUGCAGGAAGACGGCUCUAUGAGUUGUAAACUGCUUUUGUACGAGGGUAAACGCAGAUACGCGUAUCUGUCUGAAAGUAUCGUACGAGUAAGGAUCGGCUAACUCCGUGCCAGCAGCCGCGGUAAUACGGAGGAUUCAAGCGUUAUCCGGAUUUACUGGGUUUAAAGGGUGCGUAGGCGGUUCGGUAAGUUAGAGGUGAAAUCCCGGGGCUCAACUCCGGCACUGCCUCUGAUACUGUCGGGCUAGAGUUUAGUUGAGGUAGGCGGAAUGUAUGGUGUAGCGGUGAAAUGCAUAGAGAUCAUGCAGAACACCGAUUGCGAAGGCAGCUUACCAGACUACGACUGACGUUGAGGCACGAAAGCGUGGGGAGCAAACAGGAUUAGAUACCCUAGUAGUC